AUUUUGUCGUGGAUCUUCUUAGAAAGUAUAAAACUUCCUUAAUAUUCCAACAUGAAAACUCCAAAGUCAUUAAAUAAAUCUAAUCAAAAUUUUGAAAAGCGGGGAUUCAAACAAACACCUAAAGCUAGAAACAUGAAAUCAAAAACUCCUAAUACUUUACCUCAAAAGAAAUCUCAAAAUUUUGUAAAGGAACAAAAUAAUAGUCCUAAUAAUAAGUUCCAAAAGAAUAAUUCAUUUCAAAAAAAUGUUUCAUUUCAAAAGAAAUCAUUUCAAAAUGGAAAUAAACAAAGUGAAAACACUCCAAAAAAGUAUAAUAAAAGGGCCCAGCAAGAUGAAGAGUCAGAUAUUGAUUCAUUAAUUGACAGUGAAGCUGAAGAAAUGG